rnacentral:lncRNA from 1 species
AAAUUUUCAUGUCUCUCUCACUAACCCCAUUUCUGUGGCUGUACAUCUGAAGAAAAGAAGGAGCUGAAAGAAAGAAUGAUGUUCGGAACUUCUUUUUAAGUAACGAGGGAAAUAACUGGCAAACAACAGAAGCAGAACAAAAGGGAAACAGACCAGCAGAGGCUAUAGCCAGACGUGCUGCUCCAGCUGCAGCUGGGUAAGAGGUUACUGUUCAAGCCGCUCGUCGCCGUCUCCCACUGGAUGUUCUUGCCACAGAUCUGCCGGCGUAACAGAACGCGCAGAUCUGCGCGAUCUGUGUUAGCUGAGGUACCUGACGUUAGGGAGUCGUCGCAUGUGCAGCCCUGCCAACCGCACUGAAGUAAGUAGUGUUGCUGGGGCAGUAGCUUGCAAUCGAGGGCCUGGCUGGUGACGGCAAACCCCAAUAACCCAGCUCAGCAGCCAGGAGAGCACUUUCUGACCGGCGAUGUUUGUGUAAACCCAAGAACGCCGGGUUUUCACCACUGUAACUAGGAGCAGAAGGUGAUUCAUAGAAGCUGCAAACAGAACGGGAGUGAAAGCGCAUCAAUCUGAAGGAAUAGGAAACGAAGAAGAAAAGGUUUAAAAAAAGAAAAAAGGAAAUGAGGCAGAAUCUGGCUCACGCUCUGGGGAAACCAUCUGUACUGCGUAUCAGUGGAGCGACAGCGAAUCUACAGCGGUACGAGCUUUGAGGACACUUGGAAAAUGCAGUGACUGCAAAAGGCAGCGGCUGGCUUAUUAAUGAGGACCUGGUCCGGAGGAGUCUUUCACAAUGAGCUGUGCCACAUGGGCUGUUAGCACGUCUCCAGGUGCAAUUUAGAGGCAGUACCGGCAUCCCCUAGCCAGGCGAAGCAGCUGACGUUGUGCGACAGCUUUUACAGCCGGAGGGGAGGUGUCCUUGUGCCAGCCCAGUCCCAUCCCAGCAAAGUGGGAUGCUCAUCACUAUCUGCUCAGGAACCAGCACUUUUCAAGUUGGCUUCUACGGUUAUGAGCCUUUCCAGUAAGCCUAGCUCUGAGUUAUCACUGGGACAGGGCUGGUGACCGAGGCAGGAGUGCAUCUUUCUGAAUUCUGUGUUUAUUCGUUAUUUAAAAGAAAGCACCAGAGAAGGGACUGCGACAGUCUCUGAGAACGGACUUCAGAAGGGACACAAAGAUUUACUCUACACAGUGAAAAUGAAUAUGAUCGAAGUGCUCACUGCAUGUGACAGGAAUGGAAUAAGCAUCUCGGCAAAAAGCUUGUCCUCUC